rnacentral:rRNA from 1 species
AGAGACAGCAGCAGCCACGGUAAUACGUAGGGUGCGAGCGUUAAUCGGAAUUACUGGGCGUAAAGCGUGCGCAGGCGGUUCGUUAAGACAGAUGUGAAAUCCCCGGGCUUAACCUGGGAACUGCAUUUGUGACUGACGGGCUAGAGUAUGGCAGAGGGGGGUAGAAUUCCACGUGUAGCAGUGAAAUGCGUAGAGAUGUGGAGGAAUACCGAUGGCGAAGGCAGCCCCCUGGGCCAAUACUGACGCUCAUGCACGAAAGCGUGGGGAGCAAACAGGAUUAGAUACCCCCGUAGUCCCUGUCUCUUAUAC